rnacentral:rRNA from 1 species
AUGUCGAGGAGGGCGGUGAACCCCGGCCGCCGGGCCUCGGACGGGGGCCUGCCCACCGUCGCCAGCCUGCUCCACCACAAGUCGCGCUCGCCCUCCGUGCUCACCAUGGCACUGCUCGCCCUGGGAGUGAUUAUUCUCAUCGUCUACUUCAACAGCGGCUCAGGUGGGUUGCAAAUUCCCAGCUUCGGUGUAACUGUUACGAGCAGAGAAGCUGUGAGCAGAGCUGAAGGUUCUUGCACAUCAGAAGUUAUCGAGGCACUUCCUUAUCUUAAAAAGGCGUAUGGCAGUGCUAUGCAGAAGGUUCUCCAUGUAGGCCCAGAUAGUUGUACAGUAGUUUCUAACUUGUUGAAAGAAGGGAAGGAAGCAUGGGGAGUGGAGCCUUAUGAUUUGGACGAUGCUGAUAGUAGCUGCAAAAGCCUUGUGCGGAAGGGCUUUGUCCGUUUGUCUGAUAUCAAGUUCUCUCUUCCAUACCGCCCAGAUUCUUUUAACCUUGUUGUUGUGUCAGAUGCUUUGGAUUAUCUGACCCCAAGGUAUCUGAACAAAACACUUCCUGAUUUAGCAAGGGUCUCCACCGAUGGCCUUGUUAUCUUUACUGGCAAUCCAGGACAGCAGAAGGCUAAAGUUUCUGAGCUACCAAAAUUUGGAAGACCGGCAAAGUUGCGGAGUAAUUCAUGGUGGACGCGCUACUUUAUCCAGACAGGCUUGACAGAGAACGAAGGACCGUUGAAGAAGUUUGAGCAGGCAGCUUCUAAGGGCAACUACGAACCGGACUGUCAAAUCUUCCACCUCAGCUCAUAG